GACGAACGCUGGCGGCGUGCUUAACACAUGCAAGUCGAACGGUGAAGCGCCUUCCUUUUUGGUGGGUGUGGAUGAGUGGCGAACGGGUGAGUAACACGUGAGUAACCUGCCCCCUUCUUCUGGAUAACCGCAUGAAAGUGUGGCUAAUACGGGAUAUUCUGGGUCUGUCGCAUGAUGGGUCUGGGAAAGAUAUUGUUUCGGUGGGGGAUGGGCUCGCGGCCUAUCAGCUUGUUGGUGUGGUGAUGGCCUACCAAGGCGGUGACGGGUAGCCGGCCUGGGAGGGUGGACGACAACACGGGGACGGAGACACGGCACAGACUACUACGGGCGGCAGCAGGGGGGAAUAUUGCACAAUGGGCGCAAGCCUGAUGCAGCGACGCCGGGUGAGGGAUGGAGGCCGUCGGGUUGUGAACCUCUUUCGCCAGUGAAGCAGGCCUGCCUCGUUUGUGGGUGGGUUGACGGUAGCUGGAUAAGAAGCGCCGGCUAACUACGUG
rnacentral:rRNA from 1 species